rnacentral:piRNA from 1 species
UGCAGGAGGAAGAAGACCUGGCGGCAGG